UGGGGAAUCUUGGACAAUGGGCGCAAGCCUGAUCCAGCCAUGCCGCGUGAGCGAUGAAGGCCUUAGGGUUGUAAAGCUCUUUCACCGGUGAAGAUAAUGACGGUAGCCGGAGAAGAAGCCCCGGCUAACUCCGUGCCAGCAGCCGCGGUAAUACGGAGGGGGUUAGCGUUGUUCGGAAUUACUGGGCGUAAAGCGCACGUAGGCGGACCAGAAAGUUGGGGGUGAAAUCCCGGGGGCUCAACCCCGGAACUGCCUCCAAAACUAUUGGUCUAGAGUUCGAGAGAGGUGAGUGGAAUUCCAAGUGUAGAGGUGAAAUUCGUAGAUAUUAGGUGGAACACCAGUGGCGAAGGCGGCUCACUGGCUCGAUACUGACGCUGAGGUGCGAAAGUGUGGGGAGCAAACAGGAUUAGAUACCCUGGUAGUCCACACCGUAAACGAUGAAUGCUAGUCGUCGGCAGGCAUGCCUGUCGGUGACGCAGCUAACGCAUUAAGCACUCCGCCUGGGGAGUACGGCCGC
rnacentral:rRNA from 1 species